rnacentral:lncRNA from 1 species
CAGGGGUCAACAGGGCCAUGGUGUGGAUUCAGGGCCCAGCAUUGGCCACUCUGCUCUAUGAUAUGAGUAGGAGAAGCCUCUAGAGAGAGGCUGGCUUUUGGAUAUAGAAGGAUGUGCCUUUCCUCUUCAUAGAAAUCUGGCCCUUGCAAUAGCCUAAAGGAAGACCUCAUCCUUUCUGCUCAAUGUCAUUCUUCAUGGAUGCUCCGAGGAGGAGGCUGAGGAUAUAGCCAGGCCAUGGAGUUGGGUGAAUGCUAUUUAUGUGUCCCAGGUGGUACCCAGAGUCCUGAAAGCACCAGUGGAAUUUUCUGGAAAAUACCAUAGUUCACCUUUCUUCAGUUAGAAUACAGUCCCCCAUGUUUUUCCUUUAGUACUGGCUCCUGAGCUCAGAGAAGAUACAGAGAGGAUCACACUGACGUGAGCACUGACCACAAAGGGAAUGAGAUACUCCAAGAAAUGCCCCUUCCCUGUGGUGACAGGAUGGAAACUGCCAACCUCUCUGCAGGCGCCCCUCUGGCUGGAAGGAGGCACCAGAACACACUGCCACACUGCAUGCUGCAGUGUGUGACACGCUGCUGUUUCUUAAGAGCCUGUGUGAGAGGUCAGUGCCACCAAGUGGCUGAAAGAUCUCUGAUGACGUAA